AGGACGUUCUAGGUCUCCUGGAGCUGGAGCUGACUUCACCACCUGCGGCUCGUUUGCUCAUCAGGAGACCAGUAUAUAAGGAGGCAGAGGACAUCACUCCGACGCCAGAGUAUUUUGCCAGUUAUGGUUGAACCUGCCUGAAACCUGAAACCUGGAAGAGUUUCUCUGCUGGAAAUCUGUCAGUCUGAUCUCUGAGGAACCCUGGAGAAUCAAACCUGUCAAAGACCUGCCUGCCCGCUCUCAGAAGAAUCUGAAAGGGAAACUCAAACCUGUUCCUGCAAACUCUCAAACCAAUCUCUGCCUCCGCCAAGCCCUCAGCCUGCCGACAGCCUCUGGACCCUCCUGGUUCACCCUCUCUGCCGCUCUGCUCAACUCCAGAUCAGUGAACCCAGUCGUGACCAGUCCUGGAUCUAAUAACCCCUU